rnacentral:lncRNA from 1 species
AGCCACCGCGCCCGGCCCCUGACUUUUUAAUGAUCGCCAUUCUAACUGGCAUGAGAUGGUAUCUCAUUGGGGAACAUCUUAAAAGAAAAGCAUAUAAUUGCCAUUUGCACUUCCUCACCUCUUUAUCCACUCUUCAGCCUACUGCAAAUUGACUUUUGACCUCUUUAAUCUACUGAAAUGGCUCAUGCAAAGAGACUUUUUAUAAAAAUCACAUAUAAUUUAGAUUUUUUAUUUUCUGCAUAAAUCUCUUUAAUUUUAUGUGAUAAUACAGUGCAUGAUUAUUUGUUGAGCCGUUAAUUUUGUAUUAGCCAAAGAGAAAGUUGAACCUGUCAGUUAAACUGGGUGGAAUAAGAAAUAAUAUUUUAAAAUUAGCAGUAAAUAGAAACUUGCACAAUAAAAAUAUUUUUGUGUCACUUGAAAUAUUACCAUUGGUUGCAAGUUUUAAAGAUGUAAAAGGUGUCUUCUUUCACGUUCACUUUUUUUUUCAGUAGAGAUACUGACUGCAGGCAGCUUGCCUCUUUUGUUUUUUUGGCUUAUAGUCACAGUAUUUGAGCACAAAUUUAAUGAAGCAUUGUUUAAUUGAGACUUCCCUGUAGUGACACAACAAUAUUGCAAAUUUUUUUCAUAGGCAUUUCCUCACUUAAUUCUCAAACAAGUUUUGUCUUUUUUUUUUCAUCACGAUAUCUGUAGACAGGAUCAAACAACUUUUGAAGGGUAUUUGAUUUCCCCCUAUUUACAGAUUUAAGAAACUGAAACUCAAAAGAGACAAAUUGCCACAUUCAUCCUGCCACAGGGUGUGUGUGUGUGUGUGUGUGUGUGUGUGUGUGUGUGUGUGUGUGUGUGUGUUUUCUGACUCUAAACGUAGAGCAGUUUCUACUAUGCCCCAGCCACUUGGAUGUAGUAUGUGUACAAAAGUGACAACACGAUAUAGUGAUUCUUCAAAGUAGGUUUAUUGUUCUAAUUGACAUUUUUCUUCAAACAUUAUAGGAUUAUACAUUUCCAACAAUUUUAAGCAAUUUUGAUGCUUAUCAAAAUGUUGUAUAUUUAAUAAGUUUUUGCAUUAAAUGAGUUUAGGUUGGCAAUAAGGAACCACCAUAUACUUUAAUAGAUACUAUUUCAUACCACAGUUGUGUUGUCUUUAAUACAGAGAUGAGUGUUUAAUACUCUUUUGCAAUGGGAAGAAGUUAAAGGAGUUUGAGUUAAAAUAGUGAGAGAAAUAAUUGAAUAUGAUUGUUACCUUAAAUAUAGCCACAGUCUGUUGAUUUAAGCUUCAGUUAGUCCUAACAUAUUCAACAUAUUCAUAACAAAAUUUUUUGGGCAUCUCUGGCUCAUUUAUUAAUACCUAUGAACCUGCAAAACACUGCUGUAUUUGUAAGACUGAUAUGUAUGGGAUAAUGUAUGCGAUAAGCAAAAAUCUUAGUUUUCUAGCUAGCUUUUGAAAUGAAAGUAAUGGAAACAUGACUACUCAGAUUUAAAAAAACCAGGCUUUACCUUUCGUAGUUCAAUUUAUAUUAGUACAAAUUCUUCUCAAAGGUGGUCUCCUUGAGAAGGUGCACAGGCUACUGGAAAUAGUGAAGACAGUAAUAAGAAGAAGAUUAACUGGCUUACUUACCAAGAAAAUGAAUUCAGGAAAUUUGAUUCUCGUAGAGAUCUAGAACAAGCAAACAGGAUGAACAACCACUUAUUUUGGAAUAGUGUAUUUAAAUUUGAGAAAGAGUGAUCUUUUCUUUCUCCGAAGGGUUAAGAAUGUGAUCAAAAGCCUGGAGCUGAAAGAAGGAUAAUAUGUAUGGGAGACAGUGAGGACACUUGCCUGACCAGAGCAGGACCAGAAACCAGAAAUGCAAUUUGCCAAGCAUAUGAAGAAUAUGUUUUUACUGGUUUUUGAUAACUUAAAAUACUUCUUCAUCUAAAACCAGGCUGAUCUUGAGAAAGAUUUUAAAGGAGAUUAGAAAAUUCACUUUAACAAACCACUAUCAUAUAGUCACAUCAAUCUUUCGUAGAUAUUUUUGCAAACAAUUACCAGAAUUCUUAGAGUUUAUUACAGAUAUUUUGUUCUUGACCUUUGACACUUGCCAUUUAGCAAUUGCAUGGUUUUACUUUUGUGGUUGUAGAGUUUCUGUUUUUCUUUCAUUAGAAUGAUGUAAGUAGAGGAAUAGAAACUGUUAUAUUUGCAAAAAAAGAGCAAAGAUGCUUUGUGACCUUGGGAAUUAUAUUUGAAGGUUACUCACAAGAGAAUACCUUGUUUAGGAAAGAUGGUUAAUUUUUUUCUUGCAAGCAGACUUUUUUACAAAAUUAGUUAAUGGCAAAUGUGUUCUUUGCUGAAUAUUAAUCUAUAGUAUCAUUUAAGAUGUUCUUAAUUUAUGUUUCUGGACUUUGUUUAAAUGUCAAACUCUAGAAAGGGUAAACUAGCUCACCCCACUGCUAGGUAAUAGCUAGUAUUGUCUUCGCUGCAGGGCAUUUUACAGUAAAAUUUUGAAGUAUAUUGAAAAAAGUUACCAGUUCACUUACUAUACAAUAGCUUGGAAUGUGAAUGUCUGAAAGAAGAAAAAUUCAAUAAAUGACUAUGUAGUUAUUUGGUGGAAUUCACAACAUAAUAACAAGAAAAGGUUUUCAGCUUUGAUCAUAAUGGAAAUGAGUCAUUUAAUUUUACCCUCAGUCCUGGUACACAGUUUCAGCACCUGCUAAGAAGUCGGCUUGCAUUUAAAUGACUUAGGCAAUUAUUAAAAGCAAGUUUCAAGAAAUAAAUGGCAUUUAUAUAAAAAGGAGACUGGGCUCAAACUGCUAGUGCUUUAAAUUUCCAUAAAAGCAAAUUCAAGUUCAGAACAGGAUUCAGGAUUUAGUAACAAUUCAAAGGUUUUCAAUCCCUUAAUCUCUUUGUGAUAACUAUAUUCAUCAUGUAGCCAUUUUUAAAAGGAAGAGAAUAAAAAUGUUAACAUUGAUGUCUACCAGCACUUGUGACUGAAAAAUUGAUUAUAUAUGGUAAAUACUUAUGGCUCCAAAUAGCUAUUUGAUUUAUAAUUUUGGUAUUGAAAUGUAAUGAAAUACUUCUAUUGUAUUUGCAAUCGCUGGAAGAGUAGUAUGAAUCAUACUUCAAAUAAAAAUGCUUCUUUUUA